GAAACGUUAAAGGAAGUUACGACGGGACCCCGCACAAGCGGUGGAUCAUGUUGUUUAAUUCGAUGAUACGCGAAGAACCUUACCAGGUCUUGACAUCCCCCGCGAUGCUUUAGAGAUAAAGCGGAGGUAUUCGGGGAGACAGGUGGUGCAUGGUUGUCGUCAGCUCGUGUCGUGAGAUGUUGGGUUAAGUCCCGCAACGAGCGCAACCCCUAUUGCUAGUUACCAUCAUUAAGUUGGGGACUCUAGCGAGACUGCCAGUGAUAAACUGGAGGAAGGUGGGGAUGACGUCAAAUCAUCAUGCCCCUUAUGACCUGGGCUACAAACGUGAUACAAUGGCUGGAACAAAGGGAUGCGAAGCAGUGAUGUGGAGCGAAACCCAUAAAAACAGUCUCAGUUCGGAUUGAAGUCUGCAACUCGACUUCAUGAAGUCGGAAUCGCUAGUAAUCGCGGAUCAGAACGCCGCGGUGAAUACGUUCUCGGGGUUU
rnacentral:rRNA from 1 species